rnacentral:tRNA from 1 species
GCCUAGCUGGCUCAGUCAGUAAAGCAUGUGGCUUUUAAUCUCAGGGUCGUGAGUUUAAGCCCCAUCUUGGGCA